UGAGAAGUGAGAAGGACUGUGGGUCCCAUCGCUAUACGGGAAAAAAUUUAUUUUUUUCCGGUCGGCUAAUUCUCGAUCAGAGUGAUAGAUAGAGAGAGACGAAGGAGUAGGGGGAGGAGGACGAGAAGGAGAUGACGAGGGGAAAGCAGAAAAUCGAAGCGCAGAAACGAAAUGCGGAGAGGAAUCAGAAGGCAAAGGGAUCUCAGCUUGAGGCCAGAGCCGUUGCCCUUAAAGUCACCUGCCCAAUCUGUAAGGUGCAACUAGCAAAUCAGAACCAACUUGGUGAUCACUAUGCCUCCAAACAUCCAAAGGAAAAGCCUCCAAGUGACUCAAGUUGAUUAUAUCUUUUGUUGGAGAAAAAGAGGGCAAAGGUACAAAACUGAAAGAACAAAUCAAUAAAAGAUGCUCUCCAUGUGUGCUUCCAGAACUUGUGUUAAAUGAACCAAAAGCAUGAAAGUAUUUUAGCAUAUGUUUUCGUAGUGUGGAUAUUGACUAUGAAAUGCCUGAAGUAUGAAUAGUGCAUGUUUCCAGUAGAUGCUAUUGAAUAAUAUAGACUAUAAGCUUGUUCGAUCUAGUUAACUCCACAUCUGAAUAUUAAUAAGCAACUCUACAGCACUGUAGUCUAAUAUUAUUUUCA